GUCCAGAUUCCUAAUGUAACUCUUCAAAAACUUUUACGAGAAAUCUUUUCUAAACCACUUUUUAUUUUUUAGUUUAUUUUAAUUUACACGACUGUCGUGCGUUAAUGUCGCGGGGUCAGAAUAUAAUCCGCCGCCGUAUAACCUAACCUCUCUAUAAUAUCUUAUAUUAUUAAUAUUAUACAGUAUACUGUCGUACGUUACUCCAUAUUUUCAUGGGGUUUUUAAAAACACGAUUGUUCCGCAUGUACGCAUUUUUCGUUUGAAUACGAAUUCGAGUCGACACACUUGUUAAUAAUAGCCUCUUCGUACAGUGUUAUAUUUUACCGAGCACGUACGUCGUAAACGAAAUGUAAUUUUUACGCCCCUGACCGAUUCUGUUCGAACGCCACAUUAACAAUAUUAUAAUAUAUUAUGUACCCGCGACGGUUUCUAUUCGUUUUAAAAAUCUUCACCGCAAACACUUGAACCAGUCCGACAGUAUUUAUAUACCGAUCACUGUUCAAUAAUCGAAACUUCGGUAUCACACCUCUAUCGUUUUUAUUGCCUACUAAUUUUUACUUGUGUUCUCAUACUCUUGUAUACUCUUGUUAACAACUUUUAGAUUCCGACACCAUCAUCCCGAUAAGCAAUUCAAUCUUUCUUUCUUUUUUCAUUUUUCAGUCAUAUCUUUCUUUGCUAAACAUCACGCUCGUCAUAUUGACCUGAGAUAUUUUAAUUUUCAGUAUAACACGUGUUAGAAUACAUUCAUAUACACUUAUGUAAAUUACACCGAAAACAGACUUACGAGGACGCCAAACCCAACGAGUGCCGUCUUCAUCUUACAUAGCAAGUUUUGAUUCAGCAGGGAUAACUCUGUGUUGUUAGUUUUAAUAAUACUCGAGUGAAUUGAUGACCUAU